rnacentral:lncRNA from 1 species
UAGAACCUUCAAACGCAAAAAAGUCGUGAAAUAAGAUAUGACCAGAAUGGUGAAAUACGUCUACGGUUGAAAAAUCAUUGUAUUCCGGUAAAGUCUCGGUGCCGAUAGUUGCGGUCAAUGCAAUUUACCCUUAUUAUUCACUAUGCUGCAGAUUUGGUUUUUGGUGUCCGAUUGACUAUUGUGAUACCUUUCCGGAAGCGUAACGGCCCUACGAGUCAAACUCAUCGCUAUUGCCAUGAUGUAUGGGCCUUUUUGGCCAUCCGAGUCCGUUUAGGGCUUCAAAAUGCAGUUUUUUUUAUUUCUGAUUAGAGUUGACCGUUUCGUUCGAGUCCUUAACAUUGUCGAAUCCAGUUGAAUAUUUUACCAUAAACAUAUUUCGUCAUAAUGAUCAUAUCAGACGGUCGAAUUUUGGUUUGUAAAUUUUAGUCAUCGGAAUCACAACGUGUCUACUAUUUAUCGUUAUUAUUCCUUAUGGGGAGUCCUAUCGUCGGAAGGUGAAUGUCUCAAAAUUUUUAUAUGGGCAGUUGCGUCUCAUCUACGUGAGAGUUUUUUGUGUGGAAGGUUUGACCAAACCACGUAAUAUAGAGGGAGAUAUGAGCGUUUUCGUGUGAUAAGUGACGAUGGAUUAUGGUUGACCGUUUCGAUCGAGUCCUUAACGUUGUCGGAUCCAGUUGAAUUUUUUACCAUAGACAUCUUUCGUCAUAAUGAUCAUAUCUGACGGUCGAAUUUGGGUUUGUGAAUUUUAGUCAUCGGAAUCACAACGUGUCUACUAAUGUUGUAUAACUUGUUUAGUAGGUUAUACAAUUUUGUGAACCAACUCUAUAUAGGAAGCAAAAUUAUCAAAAAUCUCGUGAAAUAAGAUAUGUUCAGAAUGGUGAAAUACGGCUAUGGUUCAAAAAUCACGUAAAUCGGGUAAAUUCUCGGUGCCGAUAGUAGCGGUCAACCCUAUUUACCUUUAUUAUUCCCUAUGGGGUGCCCUAUCAUCGGAAGGUAAAUGUCUCAAAAUUUUUAUAUAGGCGGUUACGUCUCAUCUACGUGAAAGUUUUUCGUGUGGAACGUUUGACUAAACUAAGUAAUAUAGAGGGAGAUAUGUGUUUUCGUGAAUUUAUAGACUUUAGCCGAUGAGAUAUUAAAAAAGUCGUCGGCUAAGGUCAAAAAUUUUUGGGCAGUAAACCAAAUUUGGAGGAAAAUUUUCAAAGGACUUUAACCGACGAAAAUAUAUGAAAAAUCGUCGACUAAAGUCAAAAAAAUUUCAAAAUUUUCAACCAAAAUUUUUUGGCGGUCAUCCAAAAUUUUCAAAAGAGUUUAGCCGACGAAAAUAAAGAAUUUCGUCGGCUAAAGUUCUUUAUAUAAGAGUUUUACCGCAGGUGGAUGGUAAGAAGUCUAUUUCGCCUGCCAGAUUUUCUUCUCGGCCAAGCUCCGCCGUCAAGCCACCGGAGAUCGCCACACUUGUCCCAAAAGCUUCACCGUCGUCUCUACUUCAUUGCUGGACAGGUGGUGCAUCGAGUGGCGCCGCCGUGAGGGAUAAAUCGAGCUCCAAAACUCCGCCGGUUUGGAUUCGGUGUCGAUCGAAUUUCUCCUUCCUCAGGUCACCAUUUGGUGAGUUCUAUAUAUGGAUAAGUUGAGUUUGAUUAGUACUACAUUCUCUUAGAAUUUGGUAGCUCGAUUCGGUGUGUGUGAGGAGAAUCGAAGAUUUGAAGUUUUUAGGGUUUAAAAUUAGGAAUUUUUAUAUUUUGAUUCAAUUAACCUGUUUAGGCUUAGAAUUGGGCUUCGACUUCUUCUAGAAAGUUGUUCGAAAUGUUGAGAGGAAGAUUCUGUUAAAUUUUGGUGGUGAUUGGAGGUGACCGAAAGUUUCUGCAGUUUUUUUUUCAAAAACCAGCAACUUUAGCCAACGAUAUUUAAAGGUUUAGCCAACGAUAUUUAAAGGUUUAUUCGUCGGCUAUAGUAUUUUUAAAUUUUUUAUAAGGUUUAGCCGACGAAUUAUGGCAUAUUUCUUCGGCUAUAGUUAUUUUUUAAAUUUUUUAUAAGGUUUAGCCGAUGAAACAGACUAUAUUUCGUCGGCUAUAGUUAUUUUUUAAAAUUUUUUUAUAAGGUUUAGCUGACGAAACAGACUAUAUUUCGUCGGCUAUAGUUAUUUUUUAAAUUUUUUUGUAAGGUUUAACCGAUGAAACAUACUAUAUUUCGUCGGCUAUAGUCUGGGAAAAAAAUUUUUAUUACAGACUUUAGCCGACGAAUAUCUUAAUUGUUUCGUCGGCUAAAGUCUUGGGAAAAAAACGACGACAUGUUUUUCGUCGGCUAAACUGCGGGACUAUAGCCGACGAAAUUUUUUUUUUGCGGCUAAAGUCAUCAUAGACGACAUUUUCCCGACGAAAUCUUAGCCGACGAAUUAAGCUAACAGGCCGACGAAAAUUUUUCGUCGACUAAAGUGCUUGUCCUGGUAGUGAGUCCAUACCAAUUCAAAGAACAAAAGCAAACACUAGGCAUAAGGAUGAUUUUAAUUUCGAGAUCUCCGUUAACGAUGAACAACAAAGCUAACAAGAAGGGGGGGGGGGGGUCAAAAUUUAUUUUAUUUUAAUUUUUUUUUCUGGAGUUGUCUGGUUUUAUUGCUUUUAGUUUUUUACCUUGGUAUGACUUGUCAAAAAUAUUACACGCGGUGGUUUUCUAUUAGUUAGGAGGACCACUGUACAACGCCACGUGGUCCUAAGGAGAACUGAAAAAUUUCUCUCAAUGAACCCAACAAUUCAAGAAGGAUCCCCAAGUUUACCGAAAGAUGUGGGGAGAUCGAACGAGAUAAAGGAGAGAGCUUAUACACAUCUUUUCUCCUAAUCACUCUCGGGUUAGGUCUCCUAAAUCCUAAUCACUCUCAGAUUAGGAUUCCUUUGUUUCAGCCAAAAUAAAAAUAAAAAUUAGGAUUCCUUUGUCCGUAACGUAUAAGGACAGGUUUUCAUAACGAUUUGACCUUAGUAAUUGGUUGGAUUAUUUUUGUUAACAUAUUAUAUAUUGUUCUAGGAUAUUCUCUACUGUGUGCCUUGGCCUUAUGCCAAUAGGAUAUGUAGUUAGACUAGAUCUAUGUAUUCAUAUCCUUACCAUAUUGGUAUUGUGUAAUUCCCUAUAUAAAGGGCUCCUAUCAAUGAAUAAGACGAUGAUUCUCUUGCUAUCUCUUUGUCUCUACACUUUAUCCUUCAUCACGUUAUCAUGCACUUUGUUCUAACCCUAGAGCCAAUAGCCCACCAUUUUUUUUCCAAACCCUAAAAACCAAAACCCUAAAAUCGGGCAGCCUUGUUUUUCCCGAUUUCCGACCAAAAUUCUGACUGCCCUCCGCCGGAAUUUUAUAUCCCCAGAAAGCUCUUUCCGUCACGGAUCCAACGCCGCCGGCCUCACCCUGAGAACCGGCCGGAAAGUCUCCGAACCGGCCGCCGGAAAAUUCCAGACCGCUGCCGCUACCGACCACCGGUUCACCACCUUCCUUUGCUCCGAUCAACCUGAAAUUUUGACAGAAGCUUCCCCAUCCAGAGCUGCUCCUCC